rnacentral:rRNA from 1 species
CGGUCGGAAAUCGUGCUGAUAGUGCAAUGGCAUAAGCGUGCUUAACUGCGAGACCGACAAGUCGAGCAGGUGCGAAAGCAGGUCAUAGUGAUCCGGUGGUUCUGUAUGGAAGGGCCAUCGCUCAACGGAUAAAAGGUACUCUGGGGAUAACAGGCUGAUACCGCCCAAGAGUUCAUAUCGACGGCGGUGUUUGGCACCUCGAUGUCGGCUCAUCUCAUCCUGGGGCUGUAGCCGGUCCCAAGGGUAUGGCUGUUCGCCAUUUAAAGAGGUACGUGAGCUGGGUUUAAAACGUCGUGAGACAGUUUGGUCCCUAUCUGCCGUGGGCGUUGGAUAUUUGAAGGGGGCUGCUCCUAGUACGAGAGGACCGGAGUGGACGAACCUCUGGUGUACCGGUUGUGACGCCAGUCGCAUCGCCGGGUAGCUAUGUUCGGAAGAGAUAACCGCUGAAAGCAUCUAAGCGGGAAACUCGCCUUAAGAUGAGAUAUCCCUGGGGACUUGAUCCCCUUGAAGGGUCGUUCGAGACCAGGACGUUGAUAGGUCAGGUGUGUAAGCGCAGUAAUGCGUUCAGCUAACUGAUACUAAUUGCCCGUAAGGCUUGAUCCUAUAACA